UAAUACGUAGGGGCCUAGCGUUGUCCGGAUUUAUUGGGCGUAAAGAGCUCGUAGGCGGUUCGGUAAGUCAGGUGUGAAAUCUCCACGCUCAACGUGGAGGCGCCACCUGAAACUGCCGUGACUCGAGUCCGGUAGGGGAGUGUGGAAUUCCUGGUGUAGCGGUGAAAUGCGCAGAUAUCAGGAGGAACACCAGUGGCGAAGGCGGCACUCUGGGCCGGUACUGACGCUGAGGAGCGAAAGCGUGGGGAGCGAACAGGAUUAGAUACCCUGGUAGUCCACGCCGUAAACGUUGGGCACUAGGUGUGGGACUCUAUCGACGGGUUCCGUGCCGUAGCUAACGCAUUAAGUGCCCCGCCUGGGGAGUACGGCCGCAAGGCUA
rnacentral:rRNA from 1 species